rnacentral:lncRNA from 1 species
UAUGCUUGCAUAAAUCACUGGUUGCUAAAUAAAUUGGAUACAUUGAAAGAAAUUCAUCUUACCAAGAGGUAGAGAAUAUUUCUCUUCCCUGUGAACCUGGGGUUGGUCUUGUGACUAGGUGUGACCAAUAGAGUAUUAGCAAACAUGACAUGGGCAGAGGAGUAAAAAGUGCCUGUGGAUUGGCUUUUCUCCUCUUUUGGGGCUGAGAUGAUUUCUGCUACCAUGUGACUAAGUCUGGACUAGCCUUCUGAGGGUUGAGAGACCACAGGAAGAGAGAUCAGCCAUCCUGGCCAUCUCAGCUGAAAUCCCAUGGACCAAGUAAAAUAUGUGGAAAACAAGACAUGAGUCAGCCAUUCUAGACCAAGCCAGCACAGAAUGGAAGAAAUGCCAAGUCGACUCACAGAAUUCAAAGACAUGGAAUCAACCUAAGGGCCCAUCAAUGGUAGAGUGGAUAAAGAAAAUGUGGUACAUAUAUACCAUGGAAUACUAUGCAGCCAUAAAAAAAGGAUGAGAUCAUGUCUUCUGCAGGAAUAUGGAGGGAGCUGGAGGCCAUAUCCUCAGCAAACUAAGACUGGAACAGAAAACCAAAUGCUGCACAUUCUCACUUAUAAGUGGGAGCUAAAUGAUGAGAACACAUGGGCACAAAGAGGGGAACAAAAGACACUGGAGCCUACUUGAGGGUGGAGGGUGAGAGGAGAGAGAAGAUCAAGAAAAAUGAAACUACUGGCUACUAGACCUAGUACUCAAGUGACUAAAUAAUCUAUACAACAAACCCCCAUGACAUGAGUUUACCCAUAUAACAAACCUGCCUUGUAUCCCUGAACCUAAUAACAGUUAAAUAAAUAAAUUUGAUGAG